rnacentral:rRNA from 1 species
UGCUUGUCUCAAAGAUUAAGCCAUGCAAGUCUAUGCACAAGCCGAGUACGGUGAAGCCGCGAAUGGCUCAUUACGACAGCCACCGUUUACCUGAUUCUUAUUAUCCCACUGGAUAACUGUGGUAAUUCUAGAGCUAAUACAUGCAACCAAGCUCCGACCGUAAGGGACGAGCGCAUUUAUUAGAACAAAACCAAUCGGGCUUCGGCCUGAGGUUUGGUGAAUCUGAAUAACUGAGCUGAUCGCAUGGUCUUUGUACCGGCGACGCAUCUUCAAGUGUCUGCCUUAUCAACUUUCGAUGGUGUUUAUGUGCCUACCAUGGUUGUAACGGGUAACGGAGAAUAAGGGUUCGACUCCGGAGAGGGAGCCUGAGAAACGGCUACCACAUCCRAGGAAGGCAGCAGGCA